GCUGCAUUUCCUGUGCCGCAGAGCGGGGCGGCUGUGAGCUGAGCUGCACGGUGACGGCCCGGCUUCCUGCCGCCCUGGCUGCGAGCUGGAAACCUCAACCGCGGC
ensembl:miRNA gga-mir-1716 gga-mir-1716